rnacentral:rRNA from 1 species
GACGAACGCUGGCGGCGUGCCUAAUACAUGCAAGUAGAACGCUGAAGUGAGGAGCUUGCUCUUCUUGGAUUAGUUGCGAACGGGUGAGUAACGCGUAGGUAACCUGCCUUUUAGCGGGGGAUAACUAUUGGAAACGAUAGCUAAUACCGCAUAACAAUGGAUGACACAUGUCUUUUAUUUGAAAGGUGCAAUUGCUCCACUACAAGAUGGACCUGCGUUGUAUUAGCUAGUAGGUGAGGUAAUGGCUCACCUAGGCGACGAUACAUAGCCGACCUGAGAGGGUGAUCGGCCAAAAUGGGACUGAGACAAGGCCCAGAAUCCUACGGGAGGCAGCAGUAGGGAAUCUUCGGCAAUGGGGGCAAACCUGACCGAGCAACGCCGCGUGAGGGAAGAAGGUUUUCGGAUCGUAAAGCUCUGUUGUAAGUCAAGAACGGGUGUGGGAGUGGAAAGUUCACACUGUGACGGUAGCUUAACAGAAAGGGACGGCUAACUACGUG